rnacentral:lncRNA from 1 species
CGCCGCGCCUGCCGCUGGACGUCAUCAAGUGAGUGUCCGGCUGUGGGUCCCCACCGCUGGCCCGCGCCAUCCUGACCGUCCCCCACCCCGCAGGGCCUGUCCCCAGUGUCGUGUCUACUCCAGCUACAUCAUCCCCCACAAGUUCUGGGUGAGCGACGGGCCUGAGAAGGAGCAGCUCAUCCGGACCUUCACCGCCCGGACCCGCCAGAUCCAAUGCCGGUUCUUCAUGCGGGGGAAUGGCCGCUGUCCCUUCAGAUCCAACUGCAUCUACCUGCACCAGCUCCCGGCUCAGGCCCUGGCCUCUAGUCCUCCCUGGGCUCCCGGCAGUGAGGUGCUGGGCUCACUGUUGUUCCCGGGGGCCACCAGGCCAGGGGAGCACGUGUCCUUCUCCGGCCAUGUCCUGGCCCCGGCCCCCUGGGACUCCGAGUUCCUGCUGGAUCAUGGCAACUCCUAACACAGCCUUCUGUGCGGGCAGGGGACAGGAUGCUGGGUGGCAGGGCUUCCCCUUGGGCUUUGGUGUCGGGAAAAGUAGCAGGUCCUCUCCUCCACCCAUAGCUGGGGGGACCUGAGGGUGGGAGGGUCCUAAGACAAGGAAGAGUCUCACUGCUUGUGAGGGCCUUGGUUUUUAGCUUUGCUCUUUUGUAGAAGGAUUUUGGAAGAAAACCAAUAAAAUGCACCUAACGCAUGCUGUGAUGGCUGCAGAGUGGUCGGCUCCUAGCCUCCCCCACCCCAGGGCAGCAAAGUUCCCCUGCUUUCUGCCUCUUGCACUGUCACCAUGCAGUGUCUGGAAAACUUCACUGGACACUUGUAAGAGGUGACAGUGGGAAGGGAAAUCAUCUUUGUGUGUGUGUGGGUGUGUGUGUGUGUGUGUGUCAUUGGGGAUUGACCUCAGAGCCUUCACCCUGAGCUACAUUUUAGCCCUUUUAAAAUUUUUUACUU